rnacentral:ncRNA from 1 species
UUAAGUUAAAGCGCCUAAAGCUGAAGUGCGCAUGGAAUUUAUAAAGCGUGUUAGUUGCUGAAGACAGCAGCGCGGUGGCCAUGAAGGUCGGAAUCCGGUAAAGAGUGUGUAACAACUCACCUGCCAAAGCAACUAGCCGCAAAAACGGAUGGCGCUAUAACAUUGUAUUUACAUUCAA